rnacentral:lncRNA from 13 species
GUGUUUUGUAUCCUUACCAUAAAGUGAUUGAUGAUUAGAAGCUGAUAAGAAUUGAUAACACAAGAAGAUAAUGCAUUUUGAAGGGGUUUUGAAAACAGCAACAGAAGAAGAGCUGCCAAGGACAUGAGUAAAAAUUCAGCAGACCAGCUAUGAAGGGGUUGUUGGAAGAGAAUGCCGUAUUUGUCCUCUGACUCUGCUCUAGUCAUCUCUCCUUCCUCAGUGCACAGAUAUAAUUCACUAUUUUGAUUCUAAUCACCAAACCCUUCUUGCUGCCUUGGACAAAAUAUUCAGUGACCUUCUUGAUGAAUUACUAUCUCCCAAACUUUUCUGAUUUUAAGAGCUACUUAUUAUAAAUAAAAAUAUCCAUGCUUUCAGUGGUGUGCACCUGUACUCCCAGCUACUAAGGAGGCUGAAGCAGGAGAAUCGCUUGAACCCAAGAGGCAGAAGCUGCAGUGAGCCGAAAUCAUGCCACUGCACUCUAGCCUGGGUGACAAAGUGAGACUCCAUCUCAAAAAAAAUAUAUAUAUAUAUUUACAUAUAGAUUUAUAUGUAUAAAUAUAUGUAAAUAUAAAUAUUUUAAAUAUAUAUUAUAUAUAUUUAUAGAUGUAAUAUUAUAUACACACACACAAAUAUCUCUCUCUCUCUCUCUCUCUCUCUCUCUCUCUCUCUCUCUCUCCAUGCUUUACUUCUGAAUAUUAUAAUUCAGUGGAUUUCAGGUCAGCCCUAAGAAUCUAAAUUUUUCCAAGCACCCUCAUAUGAUGGAGUUCAAAUGAGAAGAAAAAACCCAAGUUAAUGAGUAAGAAUCCAUUUCCACUGUUUAACUCAGUACUUUCCAAACCUGGACAUUGGAAUCACCUGAGAAACUUUAAAAGCCAACAGAUGUUUUGGACCUGAUUAAAACAAAUCUCAAAGCUACAGAAAAGCUGCAAGAAGAAUACAGAUGGAGUCACCAGGCUGGAGUGCAAUGGCACAAUCUCAGCUCACUGCAACCUCCGACCCCCAGGUUCAAACAAUUCUCCUGCCUCAACCUCUGGAGCAGCUGGGAUUACAGGAGCCCGCCACCAUGCCAGGCUUUUUUUUUUCCCUUGUAUUUUUAGUAGAGACAGGGUUUCACCAUGGUGGCCCAGCUGGUCUCGAACUCCUGACCUCAGGUGAUCAGCCCGCCUCGGACUCCCAAAGUGCUGUGAUUACAGGCAUGAGCCACCACGCCCAGCUACAUGCCAUUUUUAGAACGACCCUUAAUUUGAGGUUGGAGCUGGUGUAA